rnacentral:rRNA from 1 species
CACGGGGGUUGCGAGCGUUGUCCGGAAUUACUAGGCGUAAAGGGCAGGCAGGCGGAUCCAUAAGUUUAUCGUUUAAGGCGUCGGCUUAACCGGCGUACGGCGGUAGAUACUGUGGAUCUGGAAUGCGGUUGGGGAAGACGGAAUUCCUUGUGUAGCGGUGGAAUGCGCAGAGAUCAGGAGGAAUACCGAAGGCGAAGGCAGUCUUCCAAGCCGUUAUUGACGCUCAACUGCGAAGGUGUGGGUAUCAAACAGGAUUAGAUACCCUGGUAGUCCCUGAG